AUAUAUAUAUGCGUCCUGUCCGUCGCAAGCGAGGUUAGUUACUGAUAGUACGGACCUAGUGCCGUCGUUGGUGCUAAUCAGCUGUUGGUUGUAUGGAAUUCUAGGACUGGCUUAUUUGAAAAUACCGGUCAGCGAUGCUACUGCUUUGGGUACUUUCAGGACCCGUCUUGAAACACGGACCAAGGAGUCUAACAUGUACGCGAGUCAUUGGGAUUAUUAUAAAUGAAACCUAAAGGCAUAAUGAAAGUAAAGGUCGUCCUUGUGUCGACUAAGGGAGGAUGGGCUGUGUUACGAUAUAGNUCCGCACUCCCGGGGCNUCUCAUUCUCAUGCG
rnacentral:rRNA from 1 species